ACACAUUCACGUACUGCAUCUUCCCACCACUCACAUGUUGAGUGAGCUCACUUAUUCACCAACACUCAGUGGAGAUCUUAAUCACCUGGACUACUAUACAUCUGAUGAUAAUCUUCCUCCUACUGCAUUAUCCUCCCAGUAGCACUCACUGAGUGCUUACUGUUUGCCAGGAAUGAUAAAUUACUCAUGCAGUUCUCACAGUGAGCACUCGCAGUAAGGACUGUUGUCAUCCCCAUUUUACAACCGAGGCAACUGAGCCUCAUGGAGGUAAAGUUACUUGGCCAACACCAGCAAGCCACGGAGCAGCAGAGCCUGCAUUUGAGCCAGAGAGUCUGGCCCCACAGCACAGAUCAAAGAGGACCACUCCACUGCCUGUCAGACACACAGGCCACUACAGUGUGAUCUGGUCCCUCCUCCUUACACAAACUAUCUCCCAAGUCCCUGAAGACCCACCAGUAGGAGGGUAGAGGGGAAAACACAUGGUCUUCAGAUCCUAGCAUGGGAGAUUUUUCCACAUAUACGCAGUCGAGCUGGGAAAAUGUGUCCAGGAAGCAGACGCUCUGACUCGGCACAAGGCUGGCUGCUAUUCAGACCAGGGCGAGGCUUCCACUCCAGACAUCUUAGCAUCUUGCCAGGAGGCUCUGCUCCUCAUUUCCCCUUCAUUGCAAUUCCAAGGUUUUGCUCAAGGUAGGACAGGUGAGAAACUGUCCCUACCACAAAGAGCAGACGGCGUUCUAGACAGAGCAAUCAGGGGGAAUGGAUUCUAGGAAACGGUGCAGGUGUUCAGGUGACGCCGCAGGACACAGGAACGAGUGACUGAACAGAAAUUGGAUCCGAGUCAAGGCGAUUUCCUGCUCCGAUCUGUGCAGGCUGAGGAACCACUGCCUGAAAACACAAAGGGAAGUCGUCCUCCAGAGCCUUCCAGAAGACAGAGGGAGUGAAGCUUCCAGACCCCCUUGGGAUGAGAUGACUGUUCUGGCGAGUCGCUAAACUGGGAGGAACCGGCCUCUUCUCUGUGCGGCCCAGCUGUUCUGGACAUGAAGCAUUUACAGGAAGCUUGUCUGCGAGCUCCUUGAAACAAGAUGCUGGACAGACCAUUGUCUGCCCAGUCUCUUGGAUCCUGGACAC